UACGUAGGUGGCAAGCGUUGUCCGGAUUUAUUGGGUUUAAAGGGUGCGUAGGCGGUCCUAUAAGUCAGUGCUGAAAUAUCCCGGCUUAACCGGGAGGGUGGCAUUGAUACUGUGGGACUUGAGUAAAGUUGAGGUUGGCGGAAUUGACGGUGUAGCGGUGAAAUGCUUAGAUAUCGUCAAGAACACCUAUUGCGAAGGCAGCAGGCUAAACAAAUAUUGACGCUGAGGCUCGAAAGCGUGGGGAUCAAACAGG
rnacentral:rRNA from 1 species